rnacentral:sRNA from 2 species
CCAACCAGGGAUACUAGCACCCCUGUGAACAUCAAUACCAAUGUGCGAAACAUGACGCUAAACAGCAGCCCGCUUACCCACUCACAAGGGACCCACCAAAUGGGAUUUUCUAGCCCUACAGAGCCCUCCACUCAGGAUAAUAUGGCCUACCCCAUGCAUCAUAAUACAUUUUCUAUGGCUGCACAUCCCCAAUUAAUUAAUACCUCGGCAACUGGCCGAACUUUCGGGCUCAACCCCAUGAUUUCUAGUGGGUUAACUGGAUAUGGGCAACCAGCUUUUGGAUUUGCGCGCAGCCAGUCAACUAACACCAUCCAUGGACUUGGACAGAAUACCCCUCUGUACAACAAUGGCCCUUACAAUCGUGAGGAGAUGACAGAGCAGUUCAGGCAGCAAGCGUCCACUCAAUUCAAGCCUGCCAUCUACAACUCUCCUGGGCCAAACUCCAAUCGCCGGGCAAUGGGGCCUGCUCCACAUCCUUGGAUAACCUACC